rnacentral:ncRNA from 1 species
UCUCGCAACGAGCGCAACCCUCGUGUUUAGUUGCCACUAUGAGUUUGGAACCCUGAACAGACCGCCGGUGUUAAGCCGGAGGAAGGAGAGGAUGACGCCAAGUCAUCAUGCCCCUUAUGCCCUGGGCGACACACGUGCUACAAUGGGCGGGACAAAGGGUCGCGAUCUCGCGAGGGUGAGCUAACUCCAAAAACCCGUCCUCAGUUCGGAUUGCAGGCUGCAACUCGCCUGCAUGAAGCAGGA